rnacentral:rRNA from 1 species
CCUACGGGUGGCAGCAGUGGGGAAUAUUGGACAAUGGGGGCAACCCUGAUCCAGCCAUGCCGCGUGUGUGAAGAAGGCCCUCGGGUUGUAAAGCACUUUCAGUGAGGAAGAACGCCUGGUGGUUAAUACCCAUCAGGAAAGACAUCACUCACAGAAGAAGCACCGGCUAACUCCGUGCCAGCAGCCGCGGUAAUACGGAGGGUGCGAGCGUUAAUCGGAAUUACUGGGCGUAAAGCGCGCGUAGGUGGCUUGAUAAGCCGGUUGUGAAAGCCCCGGGCUCAACCUGGGAACGGCAUCCGGAACUGUCAAGCUAGAGUGCAGGAGAGGAAGGUAGAAUUCCCGGUGUAGCGGUGAAAUGCGUAGAGAUCGGGAGGAAUACCAGUGGCGAAGGCGGCCUUCUGGACUGACACUGACACUGAGGUGCGAAAUCGUGGGUAGCAAACAGGAUUAGAUACCCUGGUAGUC